rnacentral:rRNA from 1 species
GACGGAGGGUGCAAGCGUUGUUCGGAUUGACUGGGCGUAAAGGGCGUGUAGGCGGUUGGUCAAGUCCGAUGUGAAAGCCCGGGGCUCAGCUUCGGAAGUGCAUCGGAAACUAGCCAGCUGGAGCGCGAUAGAGGAGGGCGGAAUUCCUGGUGUAGCGGUGAGAUGCGUAGAUAUCAGGAGGAACACCGGCGGCGAAGGCGGCCCUCUGGAGCGUUGCUGACGCUGAGACGCGAAAGCGUGGGGAGCAAACAGG